rnacentral:rRNA from 1 species
CCAAUAGCGUAUAUUAAAGUUGUUGCAGUUAAAAAGCUCGUAGUUGAAUUUCGGGAUCAAUAUGUCGGUCGUGCCUCUGGUACGUACUGGUAUCAUUGAUUUCUACCUUCUGACGAACCAUGAUGUCAUUAAUUUGGUGUCAUGGGAAAUCAGGACUGUUACUUUGAAAAAAUUAGAGUGUUUAAAGCAGGCACACGCUUGAAUACAUUAGCAUGGAAUAAUGAAAUAGGACGUUUGAUCCUAUUUUGUUGGUUUCUAGGGUCGACGUAAUGAUGAAUAGGGAUAGUUGGGGGCAUUAGUAUUCAAUUGUCAGAGGUGAAAUUCUUGGAUUUAUUGAAGACUAACUACUGCGAAAGCAUUUGCCAAGGAUGUUUUCAUUAAUCAAGAACGAAAGUUAGGGGAUCGAAGACGAUCAGAUACCGUCGUAGUCUUAACCAUAAACUAUGCCGACUAGGGAUCGGAUGAUGUUAAUUUUUUAAUGACUCAUUCGGCGCCUUACG